AUUGAACGCUGGCGGCAUGCCUUACACAUGCAAGUCGAACGGUAACAGGUCUUCGGAUGCUGACGAGUGGCGAACGGGUGAGUAAUACAUCGGAACGUGCCUAGUAGUUGGGGAUAACUACUCGAAAGAGUGGCUAAUACCGCAUGAGAUCUACGGAUGAAAGCAGGGGAUCGCAAGACCUUGUGCUACUAGAGCGGCCGAUGGCAGAUUAGGUAGUUGGUGGGAUAAAAGCUUACCAAGCCGACGAUCUGAAGCUGGUCUGAGAGGACGAUCAGCCACACUGGGACUGAGACACGGCCCAGACUCCUACGGGAGGCAGCAGUGGGGAAUUUUGGACAAGGGGCGCAAGCCUGAUCCAGCAAUGCCGCGUGCAGGAUGAAGGCCUUCGGGUUGUAAACUGCUUUUGUACGGAACGAAAAGCCCUGGGUUAAUACCCUGGGGUCAUGACGGUACCGUAAGAAUAAGCACCGGCUAACUACGUGCCAGCCGCCGCAGUAACAC
rnacentral:rRNA from 1 species